CACUAAGUGGCUGAGAAUAAGCACUGGUCUCUUAAACCAACUUACGGUAAAAUUACCCUUAGUGA